GGAUAAAGGGUCUUGUGGGUCAGUCCCAUUUAGGGAUUUUAUCAUCUGGGUAGUAGGGUUCUUGAAAUUCCCACCAUGGAAAUUAGGGUUAGGGUUAGGGUUUGGAAUUUGGGUAUCAAUUAAGACAAGUGAACCAUAGGUGGUAGUAGGGUUCUUAAAAUUCCCACCAUGGAAAUUAGGGUUAGGGUUAGGGUUUGGAAUUUGGGUAUCAAUUAAGACAAGUGAACCAUAGGUGGUAGAAGUAAGUGAAACCAAAUGAUUGGUGUCACUUUUGCACAUAGCAGGAUGGUGAACCAAAGGAGUAGGGAGAGAGAGUGUUCUUGAAACUGGAGUUGAAAAUGAAUCAGAGUAGGAAUAUGGAGACUGUUGUG
rnacentral:lncRNA from 1 species